UACGGAGGGUGCAAGCGUUGUCCGGAUUUAUUGGGUUUAAAGGGUGCGUAGGCGGCCCGUUAAGUCAGUGGUGAAAGCCUCCAGCUCAACUGGAGAACUGCCAUUGAUACUGGCGGGCUUGAGUACAGACGAGGUUGGCGGAAUUGAUUGUCUAGCGGUGAAAUGCAUAGAUACAAUCAAGAACACCGAUUGCGUAGGCAGCUAACUAGGCUGUAACUGACGCUGAGGCACGAAAGCGUGGGGAGCGAACAGG
rnacentral:rRNA from 1 species